rnacentral:rRNA from 1 species
UUUGAUCCUGGCUCAGAUUGAACGCUGGCGGCAGGCCUAACACAUGCAAGUCGAACGGUAACAUUUCUAGCUUGCUAGAAGAUGACGAGUGGCGGACGGGUGAGUAAUGCUUGGGAACUUGCCUUUGCGAGGGGGAUAACAGUUGGAAACGACUGCUAAUACCGCAUAAUGUCUACGGACCAAACGGGGCUUAGGCUCCGGCGCAAAGAGAGGCCCAAGUGAGAUUAGCUAGUUGGUAAGGUAACGGCUUACCAAGGCGACGAUCUCUAGCUGUUCUGAGAGGAAGAUCAGCCACACUGGGACUGAGACACGGCCCAGACUCCUACGGGAGGCAGCAGUGGGGAAUAUUGCACAAUGGGGGAAACCCUGAUGCAGCCAUGCCGCGUGUGUGAAGAAGGCCUUCGGGUUGUAAAGCACUUUCAGUUGUGAGGAAAAGUUAGUAGUUAAUACC